UACGUAGGGGGCAAGCGUUGUCCGGAUUUAUUGGGCGUAAAGAGCUCGUAGGCGGUUCCGUAAGUCAGGUGUGAAAAAUCUGGGCUCAACCCCGGGAGGCGGAUGGAUACUGCAAGGCUCGAGUCCGGAAGAGGCAAGUGGAAUUCCCGGUGUAGCGGUGAAAUGCGCAGAUAUCGGGAGGAACACCAAUGGCGAAGGCAGCUUGCUGGGACGGUACUGACGCUGAGACGCGAAAGCGUGGGGAGCAA
rnacentral:rRNA from 1 species